AAUAGAUACCCGGGUAGUCCACGCCGUAAACGAUGAGUGCUAAGUGUUAGGGGGUUUCCGCCCCUUAGUGCUGCAGCUAACGCAUUAAGCACUCCGCCUGGGGAGUACGGUCGCAAGACUGAAACUCAAAGGAAUUGACGGGGGCCCGCACAAGCGGUGGAGCAUGUGGUUUAAUUCGAAGCAACGCGAAGAACCUUACCAGGUCUUGACAUCCCGCUGACCGCUAUGGAGACAUAGCUUUCCCUUCGGGGACAGCGGUGACAGGUGGUGCAUGGUUGUCGUCAGCUCGUGUCGUGAGAUGUUGGGUUAAGUCCCGCAACGAGCGCAACCCUUGUCCUUAGUUGCCAUCAUUCAGUUGGGCACUCUAAGGAGACUGCCGUACAAAUACGGAGGAAGGUGGGGAUGACGUCAAAUCAUCAUGCCCCUUAUGACCUGGGCUACACACGUGCUACAAUGGACGGUACAAACGGUUGCGAAGUCGCGAGACGGAGCCAAUCCGAGAAAGCCGUUCUCAGUUCGGAUUGCAGGCUGCUAACC
rnacentral:rRNA from 1 species